rfam:Triticum urartu cultivar G1812 contig847101, whole genome shotgun sequence.
AGCUGCGUGGUGAGCACAAAGCGAUCUAUUCUUUCGCCUUUUACCAAAAGAAAUACCGUGUGCACGCCACACUAAGCAGCAUACCCUAAUUUUUUAAGGGUGUCUUUUCUCUAUGAGAAGGC